AAUCAACGCUGGCGGCGUGCCUCAGACAUGCAAGUCGAACGCGAAAGUCCCCUUCGGGGGGCGAGUAGAGUGGCGCACGGGUGAGUAACACGUAGGUAAUCUACCCCCGAGUGGGGAAUAACUCAGGGAAACUUGAGCUAAUACCGCAUAAUGCAGCGGCACCACAUGGUGACAGUUGUUAAAGCAUUUAUGCGCUUGGGGAGGAGCCUGCGGCAGAUAGCUAGUUGGUAAGGUAAUGGCUUACCAAGGCUACGAUCUGUAACCGGCCUGAGAGGGCGGACGGUCACACUGACACUGAAU
rnacentral:rRNA from 1 species